ACUAGGAUUAGAUACCCUAUUAUUAAAAUUUAAAUUGAAAAUACUAAAAUAGUAGAUAAUUAUUUAUUGAAACUUAAAUAAUUUGGCGGUAUUUUAGUUCAUUUAGAGGAAUCUGUUUAAUAAUUGAUAAUCCACGAAUAAAUUUACUUAAUUUUUUAUUUUGUAUAUCGUUGUUAAAAAAAUAUUUUUUAAUAAUAAUAAUAUUUAAAAAUUUUGAUUAAAAAUUAAAUCAGAUCAAGAUGCAGAUUAUAAUUAAGAAUAUAAUGGAUUACAAUAAAUUUAUUUAGAUGAAUAUUAAUUUGUAAAAGUUAAUUGAAGG
rnacentral:rRNA from 1 species